rnacentral:rRNA from 1 species
UACGGAGGGGGCUAGCGUUGUUCGGAAUUACUGGGCGUAAAGCGCGCGUAGGCGGAUCUGCAAGUCGGGGGUGAAAUCCCGAGGCUCAACCUCGGAACUGCCUUCGAUACUGCGGGUCUCGAGUCCGGGAGAGGUGAGUGGAAUUCCUAGUGUAGAGGUGAAAUUCGUAGAUAUUAGGAAGAACACCAGUGGCGAAGGCGGCUCACUGGCCCGGUACUGACGCUGAGGCGCGAAAGCGCGGGGAGCAAACAGG